UUUCGCCUUAGGGUUUGCGAUCACCUUCGCAUGACAAAUUCCCAUGGAUGUGAAACCCUAGGGCAGCAGUCGAAGAGGGGAAAAGAGGAGAAAAAUCAAUCACUGAGAAGGAGAUUCAUCCAUGGGAGAGAAAUCUCUAAGGUAAUCCCAACAAGAAUCACUACACGACAAGCAAAAUGGGAGCAGAAAUCAAGGCAAAGAACAAGCAAAGAGGGAAACCAGAACAAGUUUCUGAGGCCCAGGUGAGACACAGAACAUAAAAACAAAAUGCUAUAUUUUACAUUGCAACUUACAAAGUUUAAUACUCAAAAUUUUAAUGUUUCUGUCUCUUACCUUUAUAAAUUAUUACACUUUGGACCUAUCAAACCUAAGGUAUGGUAGGUUGUUUAAGACAAAAGUGGAGUUGUAAAGUCCAGAUAGUUAUGAAGUUUGAGAAGUUAUAGAGUCCCGAUGUCCAUAUUAUAAAGACUUAAUAAAGCAUAAAAUUGAAGUGUUUUA